UGAAGAGCUCCUAACAUCCACCAUUGCUUCUGUCGGUUCUGCAAUGCCGCAAUAUCAACAAAUGUGGCUGAUCGGAGAGAAAAGGAAAGGAUGGAAGAACUUCAAAUAGCCACUGUUGCAACAGCCACUGUUGCUUCCGUCGGCUCCGUAAUGCAACAAUCUAACGAUUGUGGCUGAUCUGAAAGGAAAUGAAAGAAAAGGACUUUUGUGAAGUGAAAAAUCUCUAUUGAUUCUUGUAUAACAAUGGAUUGAAGAUCUUUUGAAGAAUGUACACAUUUAGUUUUGCAGAUUCUUUUAUACUUCUAAUGUGAGGAAUACGAAUAAUAAAACCAGGAAAAUAUGGUAGAUAAGAAGAUGUCCACAGUUUAGUAGCUAUUCCAAAGUUGUAAGGAAGACUUUGCCUCUGGUUAGAUUGGGAUUAUUUCGCUUUAUGAAGAUAUUUAAAGCCUUGGUUCUAUUUUAGGGUAUCCGUUCUUGCCUCUUUUUUUUGAAAACUGUUGUUGAACCUCUCUCUGAGUUCCUCUGCUUGUCGAUCUUACUAAGAACAAUACAGUUCGAAGUCUCACUAUUACCUCACAAUUCAAUACUCAUCUCAGUUCUCCACAUGAUCAAGGGGGUAAUAGGACCACUCACUUUGCCAUCGGCGAAUUAAGUCUAUGUUUCUAUUUCUCUAUGAUUUUUGAAAAGUAAGAUGAGUGAGCCAAUGACAGACGUGGGAGCUCGCAGCUGAGGAAAUUGACGGUAAGGGCGGAGGUCACUGCUAAACAGAGCUUUUGGGCAAGUCGACAAUGGGGGGUAAAGGCUCACACAUUUUUCUAGGUUUCAUACAUGCUCAACAUCGUCAGAGAAGUAAGGGACACAGGCCUGUGAUGCUUCAUGAAGCCUCCUCUUCUAUGACAAUGAUUUGGUGAUAAUGCCAAAUGAUACUCUCCCUCCUUAUAUCAAUUACCUAUUUCUAUUAUAGUUCAUGGGUAUGAGACAACUAAAACGUCAUCUAUCUUAUUUUUCCACAAAAAAAAAAUCGGUAUUUUUGGGCAAAAGAAUUACUGUCACUUUAGCAAAAAUGGUCAUUGUGAAAUAAUGUUUUCUUUCCAUUGCAAUUAUGUAUUAAUGUAUUUGGUUUUUGAUUGCAAAUUGUAUCUGAUUGAAGAGAAGAGGAGUGAGAGAGAGAGAAAGGAAAACAAACAAUGUAUUAAUUAAUUGAGGAGUAAAAAUAUAUUAAUUAAUUGAUUUAAUAAAUUAUUAUUUAA